GACGGAGGAUGCAAGCGUUAUCCGGAAUGAUUGGGCGUAAAGCGUCCGCAGGUGGCAGUUCAAGUCUGCUGUCAAAGACCGGGGCUUAACUUCGGAAAGGCAGUGGAAACUGAACAGCUAGAGUAUGGUAGGGGCAGAGGGAAUUCCUGGUGUAGCGGUGAAAUGCGUAGAGCUCGGGAAGAACAUCGGUGGCGAAAGCGCUCUGCUGGACUGCAACUGACACUCAGGGACGAAAGCUAGGGGAGCGAAUGGG
rnacentral:rRNA from 1 species